AGGAUCCGAGCGUUAUCCGGAUUUAUUGGGUUUAAAGGGUGCGUAGGCGGCAUUUUAAGUCAGGGGUGAAAUACAGCGGCUCAACCGUUGCAGUGCCUUUGAUACUGAAGUGCUUGAAUGUGAUCGAAGGAGGCGGAACGGGACAAGUAGCGGUGAAAUGCAUAGAUAUGUCCCAGAACCCCGAUUGCGAAGGCAGCUUCCUAGAACAUAAUUGACGCUGAUGCACGAAAGCGUGGGGAUCGA
rnacentral:rRNA from 1 species